GACAUAGGUCGCGAACGUUAUCCGGAAUUAUUGGGCGUAAAGGGUGCGUAGAUGGUAUAAUAAGUUAGCAGUGGGAAAUCGGGGCUCAACCUCGUGGAAGCUGUUAAUACUGUGAUACUUGAGUACAGAAGAGGUUAACGGAACUCCAUGUGGAGCGGUGAAAUGCGUAGAUAUCACUUGGAACGCCAAAGGUGAAGACAGUCUGCUGGGGAUUUGCUGACGCUGAGACACGAAAGCCAGGGGAGCGAACGGG
rnacentral:rRNA from 1 species